rnacentral:misc_RNA from 1 species
UUAGUACUAGCGGGUAGUCCUACCUGAUUUGAGGCCAGAUGUCAAGAAUAUUAAUCCGAAGAUCAAUGGAUUAGAAAGCGGUCUUUAGUCUUGCAACGCGGCCAUCCGAAGAUGUCCUUAGCGAAAUACUUAUUACGCCAAGUCAAACCAUGUCGCGAGACAGAUCCAGCUAUUACUUUUAAGACGAGCCGACUUAUCAU